AAUAUCAAGAUUUUAUUUUAUAAAAUGGUUAAAUUAUAGAAAAUCUUCCAACCAAUACCCACUUUUUCACUUUUCCUCCUAUCAUUUAAAAACUUACACUUUGCUCUCUUAAAAAAUAAAAAAUAUUCACUUUGACCCCCGCCGUCAAUGUUCCAUUAGAGUUCCGUUUAUAUUUUAUUUUUUAUACCCAAAAAAACUUUUGAAAUUCUCAUUCACGCCCACACAUAUACCAUCCUCUGCCGCCUCGCCCACCCCUCUGUCCAUGCCCAGACACACGUCCUCGUCCUUCUCUACCGUCGAAUGAGUAAAAUUGGGGAGGAGGAGAUUGAUGAAGAAGAUGAAGAUAAUUUGAUCAUUUUGUCAUAUCGUAUUUUCUUGUGAAUAUUUUUUAAUUUUGAAGAUGAUAAAGUGUAGAUUUUUGAAUAACAGAAAAAAAAUAUGAAAAAAUGAGUAUUGACGUCAGAAUUUUAUAUAAUUUAGUCCUAUAAAAUGCCCGUGCUAAUUGUA
rnacentral:lncRNA from 1 species